rnacentral:lncRNA from 1 species
CUCCGACCUUCACAUCUCCACUUCCCUUUUCGUGUCCGAUCCCUUCCGUUAUAAGAGUAGGUUUUAUUCGUUUUUUUCAAAUUUUAACGAUCUCCGUGACCCACCUCCCUCGUGCGUACGUAAUAAGUAGACGGUCCAUAAAACGAGUUUGACGACACUGGCCAUCUGUUAAAAUAUCAUAUUGUUCAAAGGAAGCAAGUUUAAAACGUACAGAUUUUGACGUCAUCGAGAUUCGUCCGUGUUUCCCGCUGGUUGACUCACUGUUGAUCGGGUCGCCAUGGCGACGUGACGCCGCUCCCAGGAACAGUUCGCAGAAGUGGACCCGUCCUGCACUCCCGCCGACCGGUGUUCCCAGGCUCGGUACUCCGAGUGUGACCUUGCACACUCGUGCGAUGCGAACACUCAAAGGUCCACUCGCUCGUGGACCAUGACCACGAUGCUCCUCAUGCUGCUCCUCCUGUUGCCGUUCCGGGUAAACUCGAUACCUCGAGCGAUCUACCAGGACGGACCUGGAAACGUCCCUCUUCCGAAAACGAUGGACGCCGUCGUGGACGUCCAGGUACAAGACACGACCGGCGAUGGAGUGUCCCACGAUCACGUUGACGACGACCCUGUUCCUGCACACUCGGAAUUGCACUCAAGCUCGAAUCUCUAUCAUAAACUCUCCGAGCUACACAGUUUACUGCAACGUCACAGCACGGACAAGGACACGGACACGGACAAGGUCACGGACACGGAGCACAAUGCCCCCCCUCAUGCGGAAAGGAGAAUCGGCGAUGGCGAGAGCUGGUUGAAGGAAGUUCCAAAUAUCAUGAUCAUCAGCAUGAUCGUGUUACAAGCGGUCUCCACCUUGGGUUUCUUCUGCUUCGUCUUGAUGUUUUGCUAUUUGAAGAGGAAAGAAACAAGAUGCAGGUGCUCCCGAACCUCCGUCGAAGUGGCUGACGACAAAUGGAAGAACAGCUCCAGCUCCUCCACCGACUCACCGGAUCCAUUCCCGUUGCUGAGAAAGGUCUACUUUGACCAGAUGGACCGUCAUGAUCAUCAGGAAAUAUUUGGAGAUAUGUUCAACCAGAACACCUCACAACUGCCAAAGAAAUGUGACAAAUCGACACAGUAUUGA